rnacentral:rRNA from 1 species
AAAUUGGAGCCAUUGGUGAGAUACCACUCUAACAAUGCUAGGAUUCUAACCCUAUACCGUUAUCCGGUUAGGGGACAGUUUCAGGUGGUCAGUUUGACUGGGGCGGUCGCCUCCUAAAAGGUAACGGAGGCGUGCAAAGGUUUCCUCAGACUGGUCGGAAAUCAGUCGUAGAGUGUAAAGGCAUAAGGAANCUUGAUUGUGAGACCUACAAGUCGAACAAAGACGAAAGUCGGCCUUAGUGA